UGAAUACGAGACGCUAAGGCGUCGAAGUAGUGUAUGUCAUACUUCCAAGAAAAGCUUGCACUGUCAUAGAUAAAAAACGCCUGUACCAUAACCGACACAGGUGGGUAGGUAGAGUAUACUAAGGGGCGCGAGAUAACUCUCUCUAAGGAACUCGGCAAAAUAACUCCGUAACUUCGGGAGAAGGAGUGCCUUAUUCGUAAGGUUGCAAUAACAAGAUCCAAGCAACUGUUUAUCAAAAACACAGGUCUCCGCUAAGUCGUAAGACGAUGUAUGGGGGCUGACGCCUGCCCAGUGCCAGAAGGUUAAAGAAGUUGGUUAGCAAUUGCGAAGCUGAUAACUGAAGCCCUGGUGAACGGCGGCCGUAACAAUAACGGUCCUAAGGUAGCGAAAUUCCUUGUCGGGUAAGUUCCGACCCGCACGAAAGGCGUAAUGAUUUGGAUACUGUCUCGGAGAGGGGCUCGGUGAAAUAGACUUGUCUGUGAAGAUGCGGACUACCUGCACCAGGACAGAAAGACCCUAUGAAGCUUUACUGUAACUUGAAAUUGAAAUUGGACUUUAUUCGCGCAGUAUAGGUGGGAGGCGUUGAUUAUAAUCUUGUGGGAUUAUUGGAGCCAUCAGUGAGAUACCACUCUUGUAAUGUUAGAUUUCUAACUUUGAAUCAUUAUCUGGUCAAAGAACAGUUUCAGGCGGGCAGUUUGACUGGGGCGGUCGCCUCCUAAACGGUAACGGAGGCGCACAAAGGUUUCCUCUGAACGGUUAGAAAUCGUAUCUAGAGUGUAAAGGCAUAAGGAAGCUUGACUGUGAGACCUACAAGUCGAGCAGGGACGAAAGUCGGUCUUAGUGAUCUGACGGUACUGAGUGGAAAGGCCGUCACUCAACGGAUAAAAGUUACUCUAGGAUAACAGGCUGAUCUCCCCCAAGAGUUCACAUCGACGGGGAGGUUUGGCACCUCGAUGUCGGCUCAUCGCAUCCUGGGGCGGUAGUACGUCCCAAGGGUUGGGCUGUUCGCCCAUGAAAGCGGUACGCGAGCUGGGUUCAGAACGUCGUGAGGCAGUUCGGUCCAUAUCCGGUGUAGGCGUUAGAAUAUUGAGAGGAGCCUUCUUUAGUACGAGAGGACCGAGAAGGACAUACCUCUGGUGUACCAGUUAUCGUGCCAACGGUAAACGCUGGGUAGCUAUGUAUGGAGUGGAUAACCGCUGAAAGCAUCUAAGUGGGAAGCCCACCUCAAGAUAAGUAUUCU
rnacentral:rRNA from 1 species